rnacentral:rRNA from 1 species
AUUGAACGCUGGCGGCAGGCUUAACACAUGCAAGUCGAGCGGGGAAAAGUAGCUUGCUACUUAACUUAGCGGCGGACGGGUGAGUAAUACUUAGGAAUCUGCCUAUUAGUGGGGGACAACAUUUCGAAAGGAAUGCUAAUACCGCAUACGUCCUACGGGAGAAAGCAGGGGAUCACUUGUGACCUUGCGCUAAUAGAUGA